AACGCGAAGAACCUUACCAGGUCUUGACAUCCCUCUGACGGGUGCAGAGAUGUGCCGUUCCUUCGGGACAGAGGAGACAGGUGGUGCAUGGUUGUCGUCAGCUCGUGUCGUGAGAUGUUGGGUUAAGUCCCGCAACGAGCGCAACCCUUGAGCUUAGUUGCCAGCGCGUAAUGGCGGGCACUCUAGGGUGACUGCCGGUGACAAACCGGAGGAAGGCGGGGAUGACGUCAAAUCAUCAUGCCCCUUAUGACCUGGGCUACACACGUACUACAAUGGCCGGUACAACGGGCAGCGAAGGAGCGAUCCGGAGCGAAUCCAACAAAACCCGGUCUCAUUUGGGAUGGGAGGUCGGACUUGACCCCCAUGAAGUGGGAAUUGCUAAUAAUCGAAAUAUCAACCUGCCGCGGAAAAUACUUUCCCGGGUCUUGUACACACCG
rnacentral:rRNA from 1 species